rnacentral:tRNA from 1 species
GCAUUGAUGGUUCAGUGAUAGAAUUCUCACCUUCCAUGAGGGAGACCCCGGUUCGAUUCCUGACCAAUGUA